UUUCUCACUCACCUCAAGUUUCCCUCACUCUACACGCCACCUAUCUACCCACUCCAUCAGUCUCUCCCAACGAAAAUAAAAAAGGAAAAGAAUAAGGUUUUGUCCAUUGGAGAUUGAUAUAUUUUACUCUCUCUGCUGACUUCACAAAAGGACCAACAAACAGUAACUUACUCUCACUCUCAAAGAAUAAAGAAAAGGAUUAAAAACGGAAAAGAGAAGAAGCCUCUGGGUAUUUCCCUGAGCGCCUCACCCUUAACCAUCACCAUUCCUCUUCUUCAAAUACUCCAUCGUCUUCCACCCUUUCACCACACUAACACCUCAUUUUCGCUUCCGCCGAAACAACCUAGAAUAACCGCCGUGAAUCGCCACCACUACCACUACGUCGCCGCAUCAUCUCUCAACCACCGUCAAUUUUGAACCAUCCGCCGUCUUCCUCAUAUAUUCCGGCGAUAAAUUCCAGACCUCACCGCCGUGUCAAUAACCGAACUCCUUCACACUCAGGUGAAUCCACCUCUGUUCACCGACAUCGCCGCCGCCACGGUUUGCUCUUCUAAAUUCACCACAACCAACUGCGACGCAGAUCCUCUCUUCCCCAACAGGCGAAACCAAGCAACAAACGACAGCAGUGACACCGCUUCGUUUCAAUAUGGUUGCAUUACAUGUCGGCUUUAUUGCAUAAAUCUCAAUGCCGAAUUUCUUCGACCGACCAUUCACGACAACAACCUUCGACAUCAUGGUAACAACAUGAUUUGUUUUUUGUAUUAUACUACUUUGUGUAUGUCUUUUAUUCGAUUCCGCGGCGGUGUUUGUAUGUCUUGUUGUUGUAGAUUCGAUCCCAUGAAAUGUUUUGUUAAUGGAGGAUAUAUACUUUUGUUUAUGAAUUUGAUUGGUGAAGGAUGACGAAGCUCUCUUUUAUUUC